UUGAAAUUUUGAUUGACAUUAGUUAUUUUAAGUUUUCGGAAUAUACCUAUAAAACUAUUUUUGGGAUAAUGGCCCCCCUAACAAAUACAAGUGAAUGUGCAUUUUGUCUAAAGUCGCUAUAUAAAAUCUCAAGCAACUAUUUACAGUCGUAAGUCUUCAAUCCCAGAUUUUCCAAAGAUAAGUCCAAACGAUCUUUGUGGCUUAUAGUUUGUGGUUUCACUGAAGAAGAUUAUAAGCCUUCUGGAUAACUUUGUUCACUCCAUUUCGACAAAGGUUGUUCCAAAACUAGGACUUAAUUGAACAUUUUAAAACCAUAUUCAGUUCCAACAACGUUUGAAAAACAAUCAAAAGUAUUUUUUGAAUCAACUUAUGUUAGAUAGGUCCUCGUAUAAGUACCCGAUCUUUACAAGAGUAGACAGGUGGAUGAUGAGUCAUGGCUUACAGCUGGUUCACCACAGGAUGGAUGCAGUCAUGCUAACGAAAAGGUAGACAUACCUCCUCGGCUCAGUCUAGACCAGCGAUACCCAAAUUGUGUUCCGUGGGACAAUCUCAAGGGUUCUACUAAAUAAAUUACGGUUCCACGAAACAUGGAACUUUUUCCUAAGGGUGCUGUAGUCAAGUUUGGAAACCGCUGAUCUAGUUAUAUGAGCAACCAAAUUGGGUACCUUGGCUUCAUUCUCGAGCAGUCACAGCCAAUGGAAGAGGAGGCUACUCAACUCAGUGGUCUAGUCUAGAGCCAACUCUUGUAUGCCGCUCCAGUUUGGGCAAGCGCAGUCAACGCGACGGCCAAGUUCAGGACAUUUCUUCAAAGGCCCCAAAGAUCAGCGGUCCUUAAAAUCAUCAGAACUUCAACUGUCACUGAUGAAGCAGCUUUCCUCCUAGCACUUAGCUGGGUCAAGCAAUGUACAAACAGUUUGGUCUCCUUGUAGUAAUAUUACAAGCAAAAAAAAAGGUCCUUGUAUAAGAUAUCUGAGUUACUGCCAUACCAAAUUUGCAAGGAGGCUGCUUAAAUAUCAAACAUUGAAAUGGAAAAUUCUCAAAUUGAUGAUACUCCUAAACGAAAGACUCAGAAAUAUUUUGUGGGUGAUGCAACUACUUUUACCAUAUUUUGCCACUCUGAGGAAAGCAAAGUAUAAUUUAACCGAAGCUAAAUAUAAAAUUAUUCAGCAACAAAAUAAAAUGAAAUAUUUAAACUUAAAAUUAAGCAGAUUGAUAUGAACUGAUUCACUAACCGGGUUGGGCUUCAGAAAAAAAUUGCUGGACCGGGCUGGGCCAUAAAUUGACGGUACUUGCAGGUCUAUAAAUUAAAUACCUAUUUGUUGAUCAGUGUAUUAAUAUUUAAUAGAUAAUGAUUAUUUUUUUAUUAUUAUGUUAUGUUCA